GAUGAACGCUGGCGGCGUGCUUAACACAUGCAAGUCGAACGGGAAACCUUUUAUUGAAGCUUCGACAGAUUUAGAUUGUUUCUAGUGGCGGACGGGUGAGUAACGCGUGGGUAACCUGCCUUAUACAGGGGGAUAACAGUCAGAAAUGACUGCUAAUACCGCAUAAGCGCACAGAGCUGCAUGGCUCGGUGUGAAAAACUCCGGUGGUAUAAGAUGGACCCGCGUUGGAUUAGCUAGUUGGUGAGGUAACGGCCCACCAAGGCAACGAUCCAUAGCCGGCCUGAGAGGGUGAACGGCCACAUUGGGACUGAGACACGGCCCAGACUCCUACGGGAGGCAGCAGUGGGGAAUAUUGCACAAUGGGGGAAACCCUGAUGCAGCGACGCCGCGUGAAGGAAGAAGUAUCUCGGUAUGUAAACUUCUAUCAGCAGGGAAGAAAAUGACGGUAC
rnacentral:rRNA from 1 species